CCUACGGGAGGCAGCAGUGGGGAAUUUUGGACAAUGGGCGAAAGCCUGAUCCAGCCAUUCCGCGUGAGUGAAGAAGGCCUUCGGGUUGUAAAGCUCUUUCGCAAGGGAAGAAAACUUAGAUACUAAUAUUAUCUGAGGUUGACGGUACCUUGAUAAGAAGCACCGGCUAACUACGUGCCAGCAGCCGCGGUAAUACGUAGGGUGCGAGCGUUAAUCGGAAUUACUGGGCGUAAAGCGUGCGCAGGCGGUUUUUGUAAGUCAGAUGUGAAAUCCCCGAGCUCAACUUGGGAACUGCGUUUGAAACUACAAGACUAGAAUAUGUCAGAGGGGGGUAGAAUUCCACGUGUAGCAGUGAAAUGCGUAGAGAUGUGGAGGAAUACCAAUGGCGAAGGCAGCCCCCUGGGAUAAUAUUGACGCUCAUGCACGAAAGCGUGGGGAGCAAACAGGAUUAGAUACCCUGGUAGUCCACGCCCUAAACGAUGUCUACUAGUUGUUGGUGGAGUAAAAUCCAUGAGUAACGCAGCUAACGCGUGAAGUAGACCGCCUGGGGAGUACGGUCGCAAGNUUAAAACUUNAAAGGAAUUGACCGGCNGNGAGNGCGACGACGACGACGAGGAGGAGG
rnacentral:rRNA from 1 species